GGCGAGUUUGAUCAUGGCUCAGGACGAACGCUGGCGGCGUGCUUAACACAUGCAAGUCGAACGGUGAACCACUUCGGUGGGGAUCAGUGGCGAACGGGUGAGUAACACGUGGGCAACCUGCCCCUAGCACUGGGAUAACCCCGGGAAACCGGGGCUAAUACCGGAUAUGACCUCGAGCGGCAUCACUUGAGGUGUAAAGGAUUCUGGCUAGGGAUGGGCCCGCGGCCUAUCAGCUUGUUGGUGGGGUAACGGCCUACCAAGGCGACGACGGGUAGCCGGCCUGAGAGGGCGACCGGCCACACUGGGACUGAGACACGGCCCAGACUCCUACGGGAGGCAGCAGUGGGGAAUAUUGCGCAAUGGGCGAAAGCCUGACGCAGCGACGCCGCGUGAGGGACGAAGGCCUUCGGGUCGUAAACCUCUUUCAGCAGGGAAGAAGCGAAAGUGACGGUACCUGCAGAAGAAGCACCGGCUAACUACGUGCCAGCAGCCGCGGUAAUAAG
rnacentral:rRNA from 1 species